GUGCUUGCUUCAGCAGCACAUAUACUAAAAUUGAAAUGAUACAGAGAAGAUUAGCAUGGCCCCUGAACAAGGAUGACACUCAAAUUUGUGAAGUAUUCUGUAUAUUU
ensembl:snRNA U6 U6 spliceosomal RNA